rnacentral:sRNA from 1 species
CGCGCUCGCGCUCGACGGUGUCCUGAAGCGCGCUCCCGGGGAGGUGUUGCAGCCAUGGCGACGGCAGCCGGCGCGGCCUACUUUCAGCGAGGCAGUCUGUUCUGGUUCACAGUCAUCACCCUCAGCUUUGGCUACUACACAUGGGUUGUCUUCUGGCCUCAGAGUAUCCCUUAUCAGAACCUUGGGCCCCUGGGCCCCUUCACUCAGUACUUGGUGGACCACCAUCACACCCUCCUGUGCAAUGGGUAUUGGCUUGCCUGGCUGAUUCAUGUGGGAGAGUCCUUGUAUGCCAUAGUAUUGUGCAAGUAAGUCUUUGAAGCAUAAAGGCAUCACAAGUGGUCGGGCUCAGCUACUCUGGUUCCUACAGACUUUCUUCUUUGGGAUAGUGUCUCUCACCAUCUUGAUUGCUUACAAAGGGAAACGCCAAAAACAAACUUGAAGUUGUCUGAAAGCUUGCUCUACACUUUUACAUUCAUCCUCACCUUUUUUUUGUGGGGUAGAGGAGGUGCAGUAUUUACUCAGUGAUCUUUCUACUUUCUGGAAACUGUCCUUCAAAGCUCUUUAAGACCCCCUCGUUAGUCAGUUUUUUCUCUUAUAUGCUCUGGUUGAGCUUGAAUAGACCAGUUAUUACUUAAGAAGAAACAGAGAAAGAUUUUAGCUUUUCAAUCCUAUUUGGCAGAGGACUUCAGCUACCUUCUUACGGUCUUUGGCUGUGUUGGUGCCCUUGUGUGCUCUGAGCUAAGCCACAUACUAAAUUGACUUUUUGGUUUGUAUACCCUUGCUCCCGCCUUCUGAUGAAAACACCUUACCCUCACAACCAC